CUGGCUCAGGAUGAACGCUAGCGACAGGCUAACACAUGCAAGUCGAGGGGCAGCAUAAAAGUAGCAAUACUUGGUGGCGACCGGCGCACGGGUGAGUAACGCGUAUGCAACCUACCUAUCAGAGGGGAAUAACCCGGCGAAAGUCGGACUAAUACCGCAUAAAACAGGGACACCGCAUGGUGAUAUUUGUUAAAGAAAUUCGCUGAUAGAUGGGCAUGCGUUCCAUUAGGUAGUUGGUGAGGUAACGGCUCACCAAGCCGACGAUGGAUAGGGGAACUGAGAGGUUGGUCCCCCACACUGGUACUGAGACACGGACCAGACUCCUACGGGAGGCAGCAGUGAGGAAUAUUGGUCAAUGGGCGAGAGCCUGAACCAGCCAAGUCGCGUGAAAGGAAGAAGGAUCUAUGGUUCGUAAACUUCUUUUGCAGGGGAAUAAAGUGCAGGACGUGUCCUGUUUUGUAUGUACCCUGAGAAUAAGGAUCGGCUAACUCCGUGCCAGCCGCUGC
rnacentral:rRNA from 1 species